rnacentral:rRNA from 1 species
UGGUGGAGUGAUUUGUCUGGUUAAUUCCGUUAACGAACGAGACCUCGACCUGCUAAAUAGUUCGAUGAAUCUUUGGAUUUGUACGAUUACUUCUUAGAGGGACUAUCGUGUGGUUCAGCCGAUGGAAGUUCGAGGCAAUAACA